GAGCGGCUGGAUUCAAUUAGAAAUGUUUGUGUCCUUUGUCAAACAAUGCCAUAUGGCUGGAGACAGUGUGAGCACUUUGUGGGGCUUGCUGUACUGUGAACAAUAGCUCGACCGCUGAGAUACACAUUGUGCCACCAAGGAGAAGCAUGAGGAGGAGCUGAAGAGGACCUGGAGGGAAGUCUAGGCUUAAGGAUGGACAUGGGAGAGCAGUCAGGCACAGGGAUUGAGUAAACUCUCUGAACCACCACCUCCACGUCCUGCCCCACAGAGCCAGCUUGGCCCAGUCCCUCGAUAGCUUCCAGGAGAGAAAGGCAGUGUCGUGUGAAAACUCCUGAAGAACCUCCAAAUCUGCACAGAGCAUCGGAGGCAGCAACCUGAAGGGGACAAAGAGAGGAAAAGGAGAAUGUACUUAACGUAAAUUAUUUGGCACCAUUAAUAUGAAAUCAAAACAGUUCAUGUUGGUAAACUAGUUGAUUAAUUGACUAAUUGUUUCAGCACUACAUCAUACCAUGAGCUUAUACUCUAUGUAUAUAUACAUACUAAUUUCACUUACAGUUUACGGCACCACACAGUCAUUUGCAUUUAGUUGGCUGUCAACACAAAUCAUGGCGAGAAGAGAAAAGAGGUUGUGGCCAGUGGCUCAAUAGCUGCCAGCAGUACUUGGUUAAUUUAUUUGUAUUAGCUCAAAACAAACAGAGAUUCAGAGGAAAUCAAACAUACAUGUAAACCAACCACUUAUAAUAUAUCCCCAGUACAGACUGAAUGCACCUGUUAGUGACUGAUGUGGGCUGAACGCUCCAUUGAGACUGCUCAUUAUUCUUUGUGUAAAAGUAUUGUAAAGUGAAACUGAUGUUUGCAUGGUUGCACUCAUGAUUUAAUAUGAAUUUAAGGAUAAUUAAUUAUGUAUAACUACAUAAUAAAAAAAAUAAAAUUUGUUUUGAUUUGGUUCGAUUAA